GGCAGCAACCCAACAACAAAUUGCCCUAUUGGUCUGAAAAUUUCAGAGCAGAUAGAUCUUGACUUAAUGAAGAAUUUUAUUCACAGCAAAUUUGCUCAAAAUGCUUUGGUUUCAGAGAUAUGAGACAAAAACUGCAUUUUACCCUAGUACUAUUAUUAGCCAUGUUGGCCAUCUUGGUUCGCGGGCGGGUCAUCAGACACAUUUUCAGCUCACCUGGCCAAAUGAUGAUUGUGGCCAAGUUUGGUUUAAUUUGGCCCAGGAGUUUCAGAGGAGAAGAUUUUUGUAAAAUUUAAUGUUGACGGACGACGACAGACGUCAAGUGAUGAGAAAAUCUCACUUGGCCCUUCAGGCCAGGUGAGCUAAAAAAUGAAAUGACUGUUUAUGAAGUAAUAAAUGAUGGUAUUAAAAUAAACAAGUCAUUAUAAAUAUACAGUUAAAAAGAAUUAUAUCUAACAAAUAGGUAAUCACAAGGCCAAACAAUGGUCAAAUAAAAUUAGGUUCUGUCUGUUUAUCUAUAUAUAUUUUACUUAUGAUAUCUGAUAACAAUAUAUAAUCAGCUACAUAUGAUUUGGUUCAGUAGAUGACCUUAUGACCUUUGAACUCCAGAAACAUUCUUUUCAUAAGAAAUCUCUGAUAUUCGAUUAUUCUAUAAUAUAGGGUUAUUGCAUGAAUAUUGGGGAAUAUUGUC
rnacentral:lncRNA from 1 species